ACUUUCGAUCUUAGUGUUUAAAUCAUAUUUAAAUAAACUUCUUACAAGUUUGGAGGUUUCUUCGAUGUCCUUCACAUUUGUUCACAAAAGACGAUUUUUAUUUUCUGAAAACAAACUUCAGAAUGUAAAUUUAGAAAAGAAAAAAGAUUCACUCAUUGAAAAAAAAAAGUUGAACUGAGUCUAGUGGAAACAAGACAAAGGAGACCAGUACUCAUGUUAUGCUUUGGCUUUAAGUUAUAUAUGAAAAACAUAUUAGUGUUCAACUUCAAUAGAUACGAAAUUGCUGAUGUCUGGCCUGACUAAAAUCAUUACAAGUAAGUUAAGCAUAUAGAUUGUUUAUUAGUGUCUCUUAAAAAAUUACAACUAUUGUCUUGUUGGAAAAUCUUAUCUUAUCUUAUAUAAUACAGACGUUACUUCAAAAAAGAAGAUGAUUACGUCCUACGGAUUAUGCAUUCACUCAUGCAUUGGAUGGCUACCGGGUCGUGCGGUUUGCGCGCUGGACUGUCAUUCAGAUUUAUUGAUGGU
rnacentral:sRNA from 1 species